AAGAAAGAAUGCAAGAACUGCUAACUCAUGUCCCCGUGAAUAAUACCACGGCUUUCUU
rnacentral:tRNA from 1 species